ACCUGUCCUGUCUUCACAGAUCAUUCCUGGUCAGCUUGCGAAUCGGUUCCCUGACACUGUGACUGGUGCGGUGCUUCCUGCGGUCGCAGUUCCCUCGGGGCCGUCGCAGGCUGGUGCACAAGUUGCAGUUCCGCUGCUACCUUCAAAUUCUGCUCCUGCCGGUGAGUACUCUGGUUUAACUGGGUUAGAUUCGGGGGGCGCUAGCGCAAGGGAGGCGCAAGAGUGGGGUUCAGUGCUCCAAGCUAUGAAGAAUGUUCUGCUAACUCUUGAGCGGGGAUCUCGCCCUGGGGCCCCUCCCCCAGUGGCCUUGGAUAGCCAACUUCGGGCGGGAUGGGCUAGUUCCGCAGGGUGUGAUCCUGCAGGGGUCGCGG